UGCUGUGUCUUUCUCCUUCUAGUCAGACUAUGCCAGAGCUGACUGUCUUGGAACUGGGGUUAAUAAUGUGAAGAUCAGGCUCCAUUGACAUGAUUACUCUCUCCAUGGAUACAGAUUACCAGAGCCUUCCAUCCCUAGGGCAUCCUUCCAUCCCAGAUGCCCCUCUUCCAGAAUCUUUCUCCUGCUGAGUAAAAGACCAUUCCCAAGAAAAAAUUUUUAUGAUGUCCAAAUAAAUCAUAGUCCAAAGAAGGUCUAGAGCACUGUGGACAGAAUGCAGGCUCUUGAGCAUAUGAAGCAAGCACCGUACCACUGAGCUACACCCCAGCCCUGGAAGUUUAAGUGUACUGAAAAGUCAAUCCAAUAGAUAGUGGAAAUUAUUAGAGAGGUUAUUGAGGAAUUAAGGGAAGACAACUGACAUUUGUAAAAUACCUAGGAUGUGCCAAGCUCUAUACUUGGUCUUUUACUUACAUAAACAAUUUAACCUCACAAUUACCUAAGAAGCAUGUCCAUUUUUCAGUUGGGAAAACUUUUUAAAACCUCUUUAUGGCAGGCAUUAUGUGCCUCCUGAUAAAAGUAUAAGAAUCGCCU